AUUGAACGCUGGCGGCAUGCCUUACACAUGCAAGUCGAACGGCAGCGGGGACUUCGGUCCGCCGGCGAGUGGCGAACGGGUGAGUAAUGUAUCGGAACGUACCAUUGAGUGGGGGAUAACGUAGCGAAAGUUACGCUAAUACCGCAUAUUCUCUCCGGAGGAAAGCAGGGGACCGCAAGGCCUUGCGCUCUUUGAGCGGCCGAUAUCAGAUUAGCUAGUUGGUGAGGUAAAGGCUCACCAAGGCGACGAUCUGUAGCGGGUCUGAGAGGAUGAUCCGCCACACUGGAACUGAGACACGGUCCAGACUCCUACGGGAGGCAGCAGUGGGGAAUUUUGGACAAUGGGGGCAACCCUGAUCCAGCCAUGCCGCGUGAGUGAAGAAGGCCUUCGGGUUGUAAAGCUCUUUCGGCCGGGAAAAAAUCGCAUGGGCUAAUACCCUGUGUGGAUGAUGGUACCGGAAUAAGAAGCACCGGCUAACUACGUGCCAGCAGCCGCAGUAACAC
rnacentral:rRNA from 1 species